CUCCGUGCCAGCAGCCGCGGUAAUACGGGGGAUGCAAGCGUUAUCCGGAAUCAUUGGGCGUAAAGCGCCUGUAGGUUGUUUAAUAAGUCUGUUGUUAAAGACUGGGGCUUAACCCCAGGAAAGCAAUGGAAACUACUAGACUAGAGUAUGGUAGGGGUAAAGGGAAUUUCUAGUGUAGCGGUGAAAUGCGUAGAUAUUAGAAAGAACACCGGUGGCGAAAGCGCUUUACUGGACCAUUACUGACACUCAGAGGCGAAAGCUAGGGUAGCCAAAGGGAUUAGAUACCCCUGUAGUCCUAGCCGUAAACGAUGGAUACUAGAUGUUGCGCUUAUUGUGCAGUGUCGUAGCUAACGCGUUAAGUAUCCCGCCUGGGGAGUACGAUCGCAAGGUUGAAACUCAAAGGAAUUGACGGGGGCCCGCACAAGCGGUGGAGCAUGUGGUUUAAUUCGAUGUAACGCGAAGAACCUUACCAGGGCUUGACAUACUGCAAAUUUUCUUGAAAGAGAAAAGUGCCUUCGGGAAUGCGGAUACAGGUGGUGCAUGGCUGUCGUCAGCUCGUGUCGUGAGAUGUUGGGUUAAGUCCCGCAACGAGCGCAACCCUCGUUUUUAGUUGCCAUUUUAUGGGUUCUCUAGAAAGACUGCCGGUGACAAACCGGAGGAAGGUGGGGAUGACGUCAAGUCAGCAUGCCCCUUAUGCCCUGGGCUACACACGUGCUACAAUGGCUAAGACAAAGAGUCGCGAAUUCGCGAGAAUCAGCUAAUCUCAUAAACUUAGUCUAAGUUCAGAUUGUAG
rnacentral:rRNA from 1 species